GGCAGUGUGGUGUAGUGGUAUUGAGUUUGGCUUGUAACCGAAAGGUUAGUGCUUCAAUUCCCCGCUGGGGCA